CCUACGGGCGGCAGCAGUAGGGAAUCUUCCACAAUGGGCGAAAGCCUGAUGGAGCAACGCCGCGUGGGUGAAGAAGGUCUUCGGAUCGUAAAACCCUGUUGUCAGAGAAGAAAGUGCGUGAGAGUAACUGUUCACGAUUCGACGGUAUCUAACCAGAAAGCCACGGCUAACUACGUGCCAGCAGCCGCGGUAAUACGUAGGUGGCAAGCGUUAUCCGGAUUUAUUGGGCGUAAAGGGAACGCAGGCGGGCUUGUAAGUCUGAUGUGAAAGCCUUCGGCUUAACUCGAGGAGUGCAUUGGAAUCUGGGAGACUUGAGUGCAGAAGAGGUGAGUGGAACUCCAUGUGUAGCGGUGAAAUGCGUAGAUAUAUGGAAGAACACCAGUGGCGAAAGCGGCUCUCUGGUCUGUAACUGACGCUGAGGUUCGAAAGCGUGGGUAGCAAACAGGAUUAGAUACCCGUGUAGUC
rnacentral:rRNA from 1 species